UGCGGCCGAUCAGGUAGUUGGUGAGGUACCGGCUCUCCAAGCCUCUAACCGGUACGGGCCGUGAGAGCGGGAGCCCGGAGAUGGACACUGAGACAAGGGUCCAGGCCCUGCGGGGCGCAGCAGGCGCGAAAACUCCGCAAUGCGCGCAAGCGUGACGGGGCUACCCCAAGUGCUGUCCGCUGAGGAUAGCUUUUCUUCGGUUUAAGGAGCCGGAGGAAUAAGGGGAGGGCAAGCCUGGUGUCAGCCGCCGCGGUAAUACCAGCUCCCCGAGUGGUAGGGAUAAUUAUUGGGCCUAAAGCGUCCGUAGCUGGCUCAUCAAGUCUUCUGUUAAAUCCAGCGACCUAAUCGUUGGGCUGCAGGAGAUACUGUUGGGCUAGGGGGCGGAAGAAGCCGACGGUACUCCCGGGGUAGGGGUGAAAUCCUAUAAUCCCAGGAGGACCACCAGUGGCGAAGGCGGUCGGCUAGAACGCGCUCGACGGUGAGGGACGAAAGCUGGGGGAGCGAUCCGGAUUAGAUACCC
rnacentral:rRNA from 1 species